ACCAUUGCUGCUUUCACAGAAGAGCUGUCCAUGCUGGGGAGGAGGGACAAAGGACCCUGAGACAGAAAAGUGAACAUCAGCUUAGAAUCCAACUCAAGGUCACAGUGUUUGAACAGCAACAAUGUUGAAUCUCACAACUGAACAAAGAAAACUGAACUCGGGCAUGUGAAUUUUUCUGAGCAAGAGAAAUUCCCUCCCUAAAGCUUGAUGACAACUAGACAGACUAAAUACACGGCUGACUUUGUGAAUACGACAGCAGUGGCCUGCAGACUCCUUCUGUGAUGUGUCCAACCACCUCCUGCAUGUUCUCCUCCACACCUGAAGGAUCUGAAAAAGGAAGUGUCACAUUACAACAGGACUGAUUACCUCAUAGGAUCAUGUGAAUGCAUCUCUAUGGGCCGGGGAGUUCCUCCUGGCCCGCCGCGGGUGAGGGCGUCGAUGAAGCCUCGUACCAC